rnacentral:lncRNA from 1 species
AAGAAAAAAAAAAAAAAGAGAAAAAGCAAUAUAAAAGAGGGAGCAGAGCACUGGGUUAAGGAAUGAGAUGUCUGGUUUCUCCUCCAAACUCUGCCAGUGUGACCUUGCACAGCCCCUUCUCCGUGUUUCAGCAACCACCACCAUAAAAUGA